rnacentral:misc_RNA from 1 species
CAAUUUCCAAACUCUUCUGGGGUACUGCCUAUGGUGAAUUCUAUCAGCCAACCUUCUCUUUUGCAUGAGUUAACUGACCGCAGUGUGCCUGUUCAGAAUGAAAAUAAGUUGCACCCUUUUGGAUUGCUGUGGUCUGAGCUGGAAGGUACAAAUAUGAAACCAAUUGAAGUUACAAAUUCGAAACAUACCAAGUCAGCUAACAUGCCUUCAAGCAUGGUAAGAACCGCACCAUUAGUUGGGAAGCCGGAAGCAUCUCUUAAUGCAGAGACUUGGCUUGAUGUUUACAGAAGAAGUAUGCAUUCUGACCAGAGCAUAUACCAG